GUGGGUCCGGCGGGGUCCCCGGCGGGGCGGGGCGGGGCGGGGGUGCCGGGCGAUUUCCGCCCCGCCCGCCCGCGCCCCCCGGCGGCGGGAGGGGCGUCCCCGGCGCGUCCCCCGCUCUGCGCCCGCCGGCCUCCCGCUCGGGGCGCGCCGCUCUCGGCUGGUCUCCGCCCCCAGGACCCGCGGCCGCGAGCUCCCGAGCGCGGCUUCCCGGCCGGCGGCGCGAUGGGCUGCGGGAACUCCACCGCCACCAGCGCGGGCGCGGGUCGAGGUCCUGCAGGAGCAGCUAAAGACGUAACAGAAGAAUCGAUAACAGAAGAUGACAAGAGGAGAAACUAUGGAGGAGUAUAUGUUGGCCUCCCAUCUGAAGCUGUCAGUAUGGUAUCCAAUCAAACCAAGACUGUACGAAAAAAUUAGAGGAAAAUAACAUCACGGCGUAGUAAUCAAGAGAUCUCCAGGAGAGAUGGGCGGUCGCCACUGAGCAGAGAUGGCAGCAGGCAGGAGAGACUCGUCGCCGGUCCCCACUGGAUUCCAUCCUUCCCGGCGAUGCCAACCUCUUGUCAAGACUAUCCUGUCUGCUGGGAUAGCCUUUUCUCCUUUGGGAGUCAGACAGCCUUGGAUUUGAAAUCAGACUUUUUUACUUAUUACUCAGCUUGCUCAUCGAUUUGGAAGGAGACAUUUCCACGUGCACAGACAUCCCAAGGAAAUUCUAAAGUUCCCCCUCUCCCUGAAUCUCCCAACGUGAAAGCAAGCGUGGGCACAGGCCGCAGGUGACAGCAGCAUGCUAUUUAUGGAACUCCGUGGCUCGCCCACGACAGACAGGGCAGACCGUCCGGGGCCAUCGUCCAGCCUGGGCUGUCGGGCUCCCAGCAUUGUCUUUGGCCACUCAGUGCCACCGGUGGACAUCAUGUCUUCUCACGGAUACUUUUUGGAUAAUUUUUAUAUGACAAAAUCCUUAUUCUGUUUAUAACUUAAAAUAAUAAGGCAUUACAAAUGCAUUAUCUAAAGUAAAAUAUUUGCCUCUUAUCUUUCACUCUUUCUACUGCCCAUUAAUUUUUAGCUGUAAAAUUGGUAAAUGGAUUCUUACUAUUCUCUCUUUCCCUUUUUUACUAUUUGGUUUUCUAAUUUUAUUUAGAUGUUAGGGAAUUUUCUUUACCUGGAACCUUGUAUAGCAUUGCAAUAUUUAAAAAUAAACUAGUUAAAUUUGCAUGCCCCAAACACAGGUUUUCUUUGGUCAGAGGCUUGUGUGACCACACACGCUUCCUGGCCACUGAAUUUCUCAUUCCACCUUUGUGUGAUCAUGGCAUUUUGCCAUAUUAAUUCCAUACAGUUUUCAAGGACUUAAUAACCUGAUACCUGGAAAGUUCUUAAUUUGCUAAUGACAUGUACAUCUAUUUAUUAUUGCAAUGUAAAGUACUCAACUUACCAGUGUAGUUCAACAAUUAAACAUUUUUAUCCCUC